rnacentral:rRNA from 1 species
GAGUUUUGAUCCUGGCUCAGGAUGAACGCUAGCUACAGGCUUAACACAUGCAAGUCGAGGGGCAGCGGGAUUGAAGCUUGCUUUCAAUUGCCGGCGACCGGCGCACGGGUGAGUAACGCGUAUCCAACCUUCCGUACACUCAGGGAUAGCCUUUCGAAAGAAAGAUUAAUACCUGAUGGUAUGAUGAAAUUGCAUGAUAGCAUCAUUAAAGAUUUAUCGGUGUACGGAUGGGGAUGCGUUCCAUUAGGUAGUAGGGCGGGGUAACGGCCCACCUAGCCUACGAUGGAUAGGGGUUCUGAGAGGAAGGUCCCCACAUUGGAACUGAGACACGGUCCAAACUCCGUACGGGAGGCA